rnacentral:ribozyme from 1 species
AAGAAGAGGAAGACAAAGAGGAGAAGAAAGAAAGAGGAGAGAGAAAAGAAAUGCUCUUGGAUGUUUCUGUGCCUAUUAUUGAGUUUAUCAGUUCUCUUUCUUCUUCUAUUCUUCCUUCUCCUCCUUCGCAUUAUUCGAUCUUUUGUGUUCAAGAAGGAGAGGGAGAAGGAGA